UAUACUCGACAACAAUUACAAUGUUUAGGGCUGAGAGAAAAGCCGCAAGUGACACAAUUUUUUAUGUUUUUCUUUCAAAGAGUUAAGGCGAUUCAAAUAGACACUCAAAGUCGAGAAAUAAACUCAAACGGAUGAUUUUCAAUUAAAUAAAAAUUGUGUAAUGUUCGCGGGGAGUGGAAGAGGAAGAGAGGCGAAAAUGAAAGUGGGGAUUAAGUGCGUGUGAUAUAUGAUAUGUGAUAUAGGGGCUGGGGUUAUGCAUAUGGGAAAUAAAAGGUCUGGGAACCUUUUUUUUAGCGAAAUGAAAAUAUGUGAAGAGUUGCAAACGUAAAGCAGUAAAGGUAUUUUAUAAGCAAAUAUCUUAAAAUUCAAAUUUUAAGCUAUAAAACCAAAACACACUGCACUUUCGGCCUAAAACGCUUGCAUUUAAUUGCUCAAUUAAAUAUUAAUCAAAGCAUAAUUAUCUCAUUAAUGUGACAAAAUGGAAUGUACAAAAGAUAUCUGUGGAAUGUCGGCACAUGGAAAAUCUCGCUUAGCAUCAAAACAUUUUCCACAUAACGCUCGGAAAUGAAAAUGAUUAAAGCGAUGCUUGAGGUUGCGCUAUGUAAAUAUUUUUUUUGAAAAGGGGAAAAACGCACGCUUCGGCGAUUUAUCAAUGAAAUAAUAAUGACCCCUUCAACGCUGUCAGUCAAAAUUUAAUUUUUAUACCCAGCUUAACAUAAAAUUUCACAGAGAUUAACCCUUGGGCGGCCAGAAGUGUUGCAAUGUCAGUGUUGUGCCACCGAAAAUGUUUAAAAUAAACUGGGGAUUAGACAUGUGAAACACAAAUCGAUCUGCGUUGGCUGACAAUUCAUCUAGUGUAUAUAUACACAGAAAAAUUUUAAUAUUUUUAAAAUGAAUUCUUAAAAAGUAACAAUAUUAUAGCACAUAUUGAAAGUGAUUUUUCAAAUCAUAUUUUAAACACACUUUUUUUUAAAAGUAUAUUUAUUGGCAUAUAUGUUUGUUAUAUAAAGACACAUUUUCUUUUAGUGCAGCAAUCCAGAUAGGAAUUUAAACUUGGUACUGAGUGCGAGGCAGUCUUGGCCCUGCCAGUCAUCAAUCUGCGUCAUGGUAAUCAAUUUUAUUAGCAUUAGAUUCAAAUUUUGUUCAUGUCUCGUUCUUACACUUUUUUCAGCUUCCUAUUCAAGUGCUGGUUCCGUCUAUCGGCCUGGAAGUGUUCGAGUGUUGUAGCACUUUUUUAUUCAAGUACAAUUCAAAUGAAAAAAAACUCAAAAAAACGCACAAAAAACAACAUCAAAAGUCAAUGGUGAAGUGCGCUCAAGUGCGGCAACUCAUCAAAGUAACGAAUGGAAUUAUGAAUGAGCUGGCAAACUGACGGAUUGUGCGAGUAGAGUAUCUUCUAGAUCUGCGUGAAUGACAAUGCCGAUUUCUCGAAUCGCUAUUUAUAGUCGGCUCCGAUCUGAAGGUCACCAGACUGACAUAGGCCUGCCUGGGCAACCCAUAAUGGAUCUUCCGAAUCGAAAACGAAAACAAAGAGGUAAACGCAAAGUGGCGAUUAAUUCGAUGGCACUUCCAUAUUUGUAGGCAUAUAAUUUUGAAGAGACACCAAAAAAAAAUAACAGAAACCCAUCUACUGAAAUUAAAAUUAAAUAUAUACGCAGGCAUAAUAAAUUAUAAACAAACUGAGCUCGAGCUUUAAUCUUCGUGUGGGAUUCAGCAACUGGUGACUGUAACAUAUUGCUUUUGGCUUACUUUAAAGGAAAUCAACUUAUUAUUUUUGUGGCAUAUUCAUUUUUAAGCUUUCACAAAGCCAAAUUUGAGUCUGAUACCUACGAUAAUCUAUAAUUAACUUAAUUGCGCCGCCUCAGUUAACACAUUUGAAAAUAUAAUAUCAAUUUAUCUAACUAAUACAUCCGUUUCCGUUCGAAAGGCAGUAAUAAAAUCUGUGAAAAUCGUAUAAGCAUAUAAUUCAACAAUUUAGGAAAAUUUAAGUUAACGUUGUUAAUUUGAUCGUGAAACAAACCACAUCCGGUUAAAAGAAUAAUAUUGCAAUGCUAGCUUAAAUAAAGACUAAGUUUAUAUAUUUCCAAUAAUGCUUAUAGAGCAAAAACAAACUGAACGUUAAACGGAAUUGAAUUUAUGCAGAAAUUAUUAAAAAAGAGUAAAAAAUAAACUCUAGCAUAAGCGUUUCGAAUUUUUUCGACGACAUCCUUCCUUGGCGUGGGUUUAAGCGGAAUGAAAUUCGACUGAGACGCAAAUGCACUGAAGCGAGUGCAUUUUGUGGGGGAAUAUAUCGGGGGAAAACAGGGGGAAAAGCAGGGGAAAACAGGGGGGAAACAGGGGGAAGAACGGGCAGCAGGCCAACAGCUGCAGACGACAAAUUUCGCAUAUUUGACUAGAAUUUGCAACAAAAUUCGCCCAAACUUUAAUGUUGCAGGAGCAGAAAAACGAGGGGUGGAUGUGCAGGUCGCUGAGUGCGCAAAAUGGGUUGCCAAAAGCAUCCAAGGGUUGCAGAUUGUACACUGAGCGAAAUACUAUAACAAAGGAAAACUAUAAAAUAAAAAAAAGAACUUAUCAAACAUAUGCUUCUACUUCACUGUAGUUUUUCCUUUCAUUUAACCAUAUUAUUUUUGAGUUCAAGGUAAUUAAUCUUCAAGAAUACGAUAGUUUUUUUCCAAGUGCACUGGGAGUGACAUCCGUGUGCAGAGUUUGUUCGGGGGAGUAUCAAAUUUCCCUCAAAAUCAUAAUGAAAAAACGUUAUUUGCCUGUGGGCUGAUCUGAGAGGCACCUGCCAUAUGGCCUUUCGUCAUGGAGUGUGCGUGUCAUGAUGUCCCUUCACCUCCUUUUUGGCCUCGAAAUCAACCCUUUCUGAGCCCUUUCCUUUGCAAAAAGCAAAGCAAUUACAUGUACACCAGGAUACAAAACACUUGUUGUAAUGUCAGCUGUCAAUAGCACGAGUCGCUUCGCAUUGGGUUUGAUUUUCAGAGGAAGAGCCUCAGAUUUCAGUGCAGAUUUCUACACCAAUUGGGUAGAUUUUUAUCAAGCCCUAAGCGUUUGCAGUCUGCAACAGUGAAACGUGAAUAAAAUGGGGGAAUAUUAUUGGAUUUCAAAGUGGGGAAAAGAUGGCAGAUUAAGCGACGGAAAUAAAUCAAUAGAUCACGCUAAUAGAAAAUGAUGCAGUUGAAAGCUAAUGAAUCUGAUACCUACAUAUAUUCUUCUCUAAAAUCUUAAUAGCUUCUUAUUAAAUAACUAACAACCCUUUGAUAAAGAUCUUCAUGCUGUUAAACAUUAUUCCCCCCAGAGAUCUAUUAGCAAUUGUUAUAAAGAAAUCACUUACUUAGCCUGACUUCUCACGCAAUUAUCUCGUUCCCCUUUCUCUGCAUUAAAUGAACUCCAUUAAGUGAUAGCUUAAGAACAGCAAUAUCUCUAUUGCGAAUAAAAAAAUUGCAAGGCAGGGAAAAAAAACAGCAAAACAAUUAUGACAAUUCUUAACCCACUUUCAGUGCAGUUCCGUUCGGAUCCCCUUUUCGUUCGACGAUUUCUACGCAAUUUACGCGCACAACCUCAAAAAGCGAAUUCCAUCUGCAAGUUGGUGCCAUCAUGUCAUUAAAAGCAAAUUUCCCCACUAAUUGCAUUGUGUAGGCUAAUUUUUAUGUUGUUUUUUUCUUUUUUUUCUACUCUUAAAGAUUUUCUCAGUUGCAUUUGAGCGGGCAAACUGGAGCGUGCGAAGGCCUGUGAUAUGUAGAAUAGGGAAAACAUUGUGAUAGAGAGUCGAAAAUAUACAUAUAUAGUAUAUAGACCAAGUUGCAUUGAUCUCGAGUUCAAGUUUCCCCCUAUGAGCUACUGAUUGUAAUUAAAUCAACUGCAAAGUGCCGCCAAAAGUUGCACACGAUUCGUGCGAAGCAAUGGAAUAAACAAAGCGAAAAAAGGAGAAGUAGGUUAACUAAGUUAAGCCGAUUUUUUAAAUACUCUAUAAGACUUAAACAGACUUAAAGAGAUGUUAUAAUAAAAUGAUAAGCUGCAGAUAUCUCAACUUACUCACUAAAAAUCUUAAACAAAUUAAGAUGCAUUUUAUAGAGAAUAUUAUAUGAUAUAUGAUAUAUACCCCUUAGUUAAGAUCAAAGCGAAACAUUUACGGCUACAGCAAUUAUGAUGGCGGCGACUUCGGUGACUUUUGGGCCUGACUUUGGUGACUUGGUAAUUGUUUGAGUUAAUUGCACUUGGCCGCUUAAUUGCAAUUCAAUUGUCAUGCCAGCACAUCGAAGUGAGGGAAAAUCGUGUGCUGUAAGUUGACUGCCACCCAAUUGAAGGUUAAAAUGAAAACCGACAUCAUGACAAGUGUCUCCUCUCCACCGUACAUAUGUGACUUUGAUGCAUCGUUUUUCCAUUGAAUAUCGAGUGCAGCACAAGUGCGGGCCAUAAAUAUGUAUCGCCUGAUUUAAGCAUAUACUUAUAUCGUCAUAUAUGUACAUAUAUGUAUGUACAUAUAGUCGAACCACAAAGGCAUCGUUACAUGCUGACUGUCUAAUCGCGUCUCAGCGGUAUUGAUUUUUUUAUUUGAAUGGUUUUUAUUUGCACAUUACGAAUGUUUACUGCAAUCACAUGGCGAAUUUCAUUAGAAUUCCAUUGUUCAAUUAGCUUUGAGCGCUUAUAUAAACGUGUGAGGGGAUUUAUGAGAGCUGAACUAAUGUGCGGUGAUUUCAUGUUCAUUUUUUCCUUGUUUAAAUAAAUUUAUUGCAAUGAGAACAUUAGAAAAAGAAAUUGAUAAGCAUCAUAUUUUAUAUAACAAAAAUAUAGUAUUGAACUACAUAUUUAAGCUUCUUGGCAUGUUUGUUUAUUAUUUGCUGAAUUAAGUUUAAUGUAUCUUUGCUAUCAGAUCCUAAUUUCUCCAACACAAUGUCAAACAUCUUAAUGACAACAAUCUUUUUUUCAGUUCGUAUCACAAAUCUAUCUCACUUUUUUCACUACAAAAAUUCCGGCGAUUCAAUCACGAGCAUCAAACACUUGUCAAGCGAUUGUGACAAAGUCAGCGAUUGAGUCGAGGCGAAAUCAAAGUGUAACCAAUUACCAAGUGACUAACCAACUUUAGUCGGAAGAAGUCGUCUGGGGAUGGGAAGAUGCAGCUGGGGAGACUGGAAAACCAGUUGGUUGUGCAUUCUGAGGCGAUUCCUUGGAAAAUCAUUAACGUGUCUUAGGCAUAAAUAAUUAAAAAAUCAAGCAGAUCCGUAGAUGACUGUACCCGUCAAGUCAACGUCUUGUUUGUUGGCCAGCACAUCCUGCACGCUGCACGCUGAAAGCCUUUCAGCAGAUACAAAGAUACAAAUGUAUCUGCAGCUUGUUGUUGCUGCUCCCAUUGCUGCAAUUUCACAUAGGAGAUAGAUGGAUGGGUCGUUGCAGGCAUUACGCUUGUCAAUAUGAUGGGUAUGUGUUUGAAAGUGACAACCCGUGCACAGAGAGAAAUUAUUAUUAAUACUAUUUAACAAUAUAUUCACUAAGAAGACUUAAACUUCAACUUUUUAAUCGUGUACUCAAAACCCUGGGAGCUCGGCUUGCCAUUUGUGCGGUCCGCCUGGAGAAAGUUAACCUCAGAGUCGGAAAUUCAAGAGAAAGAGCCUCUCGACAAUCGGUUGAUAUCGCAUUUCCGGUGCGGUUAUUGUGGCAAUCAUAUAGGAAAAUACAAAGAUAUAGAUAAGAUAAGAUAUAUGCAGGAAAGAGCGAAACUGAAUUAAUGACACUGCAGAUUAACAUCUCAUAGUCAGCUACCGAUUUGGACGGCAAACAAUCGAAAAACAAUAAAUCGUACAUACACUAACAAUUUAUCUAUUCUUGUUCCAAAUAUUUAUAAUACCACUUAGUGCCACUGUCUAAUGCACCAAAUAAAUCAAUGCAAAUAUUUAGCAUUCAUUUAGCACUCGGAUACAAACAUACAAGCACACGCGUUUGUAUGGCCAACCAAGCCAUUCUAAGCUGACUCACAAACUUGCUUGUCUUGUCUUUUGCACGCUCCCACAUUUAAUAAAUAUUUAAGCGUUUUUAAUCUCAACCGACUGGGCCACUCGAACACAUACACAUACAUAUAUGAGCACAAACCAAACCCAACAAGAUCUGCACGCAAUGCCGACAGCUACUGGAUUGCUCGCCUUAUUUACAAUAGUUUAUACCCUGUACACACUGUAUCUGUGCCCGAACAUCUUAAAGUCCGCUGAAAAGUCGACGAAGGAGCGCUUGCACAAAUAUUUUCCUUUCGUGAGUUGCUAGUGAGUCGAGACAAUAACGCAGUCUACGUACGUAAAUGACUAAAGUUAAGUCAAAUAAAUGCUCAGUCAAUAGAUAGGAAAUCUUUGCAAAUUCAAAGCAGUUAACAAGCUGGCCUAAUAAAAGUAUAAAGUCAGCUAAUACUCAUAAAAAUUGUAUUAGUUAUUACAACUAAAACCAAAGCACUGCUAAUCAUAUCUACACAGCUUAAAGCUGUUUUUAAAAUAUAUAUAAAUUAAACCAAAAAUGUGUUUCUAAAACUUACAAACUUUGUGAGUUAACCAAUCAACCUUGAAUAUCUUGUUUUUUAAUAAAUUGAAAGAAAAAAAACAACAACUUGGCGAACAACUAAACAUUAUUUAUGUGGGUGAAGUUCUAUGACAGCCUGUUGGCCACUGGCGUUGUGUUAGUUGUCAGAUGGCCAAAAGUGAUUUUCGAAUUGAAAACCAAAAAACAGACACAAGAUAAAUAAAAGAACUGCUGUAUUCAGACAGCGGCACGUUUUGCCAUAUAAAGUUGGUAUAAAAAAUAACAAUAAAAAAA
rnacentral:sRNA from 1 species